AAAACAACAAAAAUUGUAACUACUGUACUUGAUAAUCUCGAAUAACAAUAUUUAUUUACCUUUUUCUACGCUGUUUCGUCUGUGACGGUACAUCUCGCCUGGAUGAGAAUUCGCUGACUAUCACUUUUCGGCGUGGGCAGCCUGCCUCGUAUGUGAUUUCGUUGCAUUUAAUAUAUUUUAUUAUUUUAGGUUCGACUCUAAUUUUGCUACGUAUGACGAGUAGUGCACGAUCGAGGUACGAUCAGCCAAUGUCGGUCGGUCGCUGAAUUUCUGGGUCUUUAGUUUUUCGACAAACGUUCCUUAGACGCGUCGUAGACGAUCACCCCGAAACGGCAUACUAAUUGGCACAUACGAGCCACAUAAUAAGACUGCACUACCAAGACUGAACAUCAUCGAUUAUAAGACUGACGGAAAAGAAAUUUGUAUAAGAAUGUAUAAUAGGUACCUACUGUAUUAUACUGUUUGGUAUAUUUGGCUCGACUCUAAUUUUGCUGAAUGUAAUGUGUAGACAGUGCACGACCAAGGAACAAUCAGUUAUGUUGGUCGGUCGCAGAACUUUUGGGUUGUUUUCCGACGAACAUUUCUUAGACACGUCGUAGGCGGUGAUCGUCAUAGUGAAACAAAAUGGUUCAAUUGGAGCACAUAACAUAAGCCACACGAUAAGACUGCACUACCAAAUAGGUGCCAAGACUGAACAGUGAACAUCAUCGAUUAUAUGACUGGCGGAAAAUCAAUUUGUACAAGAAAUUAUAAUGGCUGAACAACAUUUUCUUGCUGUCGGUACAGAAGUUGGUGACAAGUACAAAUGAGUAUGUUGUGAAGUAAAAAUUACAAACAUUGAAAACUGUUAAAUGACAAGUUUAAAAUAUUAGACGAAUGAGAAUACAACAUCUGUUGAAGGCCAGGACUGAGAAUUCUGUAACCUCUUAUUUUAAAUAUCCUAAAUUCUUCUUUGGGCUAUCAAAUGGAGACGUAUCCAAAGACAAGAAGGUUGUUUCUCAAGAUGGCUUUAAAUGUAGUUGUGCUAUAAACAAUGAGAAAAAACAAAAAAAUGAUCAAGAGAGUUAAUUUCAUGACAUCUAUUUGAGUAUGCCUCAUUUAUAUGUCAAAAGACCGUAUCAAAUUAGGUCCCACGAAAAAUGUCUAGCAGCAAUAUUCGUUCCACAAUCUUCAAUCUACUAUCUAAAAGUUGUAUGGAUAUCAACAAUGUUCCUCCCAUUGCCAAUGCUUAAUUUAAGGUUACUGGAAAAAUUGUAAUUCAUACUUUGAGAAUACUCAGGAGUAAAUAUGAUAAAUUUGGAAUGGAAUGCCAAACCAUAAAGGAAGAGCAAGUCAAAAAAGUCCAAAAAUCUAACACAAAAUAUAUAGUAUUAUUCCACAGAAGGAAAAAGUAUAUUAACUACUAGUGUGAACAAUUUAUAACAGUGGGGCAACUGAAAGAAUACAUAUUGAUGAAGACAUUGAAAAAAACAUUAAAAAAAAGCAUAAUAUCUAAAUAAUGGAUCCAGAUUUAGUGUUGACGGUACCAUACAUUGCUGAGUUUUUCUACAUAUACCAAAUACUGAGGAAAAGGGAGGACUACAAGCUGUCUUCUCGAGUUAAGGAUGAUCAACACAGUCGUAAUCUUUGGCCGAUUGACGAUGACGCAAAUUCUUAGUGGUUUGCUACAAUUAACUGGAAUCUGGAUCAAUGGUGUGCUGUCUUCGUUUUUCUGUUCUUCGAGUGUUUAUUUUGAAUAGAAGUUAACUGAAUGAAGGAUGUUCAAGAAAUGAUUCUACAAUUCUACAUACACUACUUUCAUCCUUCAUAAUUACACAAUAACUAUUUUAUAAGAUUUAGUUUAGUUUGAAUUUAUAAGCUUAGUUAAGAUCUUUUAUAUUAGACUUCCUCUGUACCAUCGAUGGAGAUCAUCAAUUUACCACCACAUGUUAAAUGUUUUCAUCAAUACGUAUUCUUUCAGUUGCCUCACCGUUAUAAAUUGUUCACGUCGGUUAUCAAUACAUUUUUUCCUUCUGUGAGAGACACUAUGUAUUUUGGGUUAGGUUUUUGGAGUUCUUUGAUUCUUCCUUUAUGUUUUGGCGUUUCAUUCAAAACUACAUUCUGGUAUUUUUCAUACUUACCCCUGAGUAUUCUUAAAGUAUGUUAUACAAUUUUUCCAGUAACCAUUAAGUUAGCAGUGGCAACAUUGUUGACAUCCAUUGACUUAAUAUCCAUACAACGUUUAGAUGGUAGAUUGAAGAUUUCAGAAUAGAUAUUUAUAUUAUAAUAACAAUUUUUUGAAACUUAAGAUGUCAGAGUAAUUAAUUAGAUAGUUAUUAGAGUUUUAAUAUUCAAUAGAAUUAUCAAUUAUUAAUUAAAUUUAACUUCAUAGACACUGGAUGUCUAACUAGGCAAUAAAUACCUUAAUAUAAUAUGUGCCUUUCCAAUUUCCAUUGCAGUAAUAACUCUCAAAACAGUCCAAUAGUUAAAUUAUUUAUGAAACCGAAAAGUUUUACUCGUUGACAGAUAAGUUAUGGGAAAUGUGCAGAGAGGUAGAAUCAAAUACACUUUGUAAAAGUAGUCAACCGAUCCAUUAUAAAUGUAGAACAAUCUCAUAUAUUACUCAUGUCAAAUCUGUAGAACUUCCCAAACACUUGUGAGAUCAAAUUUUUAACAACAAACGCAUCUGUGUGGAACCGACUCCCACAGGCAAACUCUUGGUUAUUCUAUAUACAAUCUGAGAUAAUAAUAGUACUGUAGAAAUCCAACCAGAAUAUUAUAUACUUUUGAGAUUUAUGCUGUAGGUCGAUUGACUAUUGCCGCAGCAAUAUACAAUCAAACAAAACAUUAUUACUACCCUCCAAUCACAUAAGAGUAAACACUUAUGCUUAUUUAAUUCCUGAAAAUUCUAAAUUUAAUGUCAAACACUCUCUUACAAAAUUGUUAAGUUCACUUAUAUCCCGAAGUAUUAAUAAUGUACAGAUAUAAAAGAUCUAACUGAAUUUAAAAAUAGCUUGCAAGAAUUGAGUACUUUAGAAAAACACCUCUCAGAACCUCCAAGUUGUGUAAUUAUAGAUGUACACAUAGUAAUAUUAUAUAACUUUAAAUUACAUUUAAGGGUAAGAGUUUUAAGAACCACUGAAUAUUGUAAGUAACAUUAAUCUAUAUAUGUUUUAGUAUUAGUGUAUUUAGCAGUAAAAUAAUAAAGACAUGUUGUAAACUGAUAUGUGUGUGGCAUCAGGCAAUUGGGACUCCCUUCUCCAGACCAAUGGUCUAAGCCUUAGACUCUAAGGAAUCUGCUGAAAAAAAUCUUUUUUGCCGUCAACC